rnacentral:misc_RNA from 1 species
AACUUUUGGCAAUGGAUCACUUGGCUCUCGCAUCGAUGAAGAACGCAGCGAAAUGCGAGAAGUAAUGUGAAUUGCAGAAUUUAGUGAAUCAUCGAAUCUUUGAACGCACCUUGCGCUCCUUGGUAUUCCGUGGAGCAUGCCUGUAUGAGUGUCAUGUGACUUAUCAACCACAUCAGAUGUUUUGAUGUGGCUUGGAUGUGGGGGUUUCUUUUUGCCGGCUUUUUCUUUUACAGAAGGUCAGCUCCCCUGAAAUGUAUUAGUAGUAUCUGAGCUACUGCUAUCGGUGUGAUAAUUAUCUAUGCCUUUGGUAUGCUGCAUGAACAGAUUGCGCUGCUUAUAACAAUUGAAUUUGACAAAUCUGACCUCAAAUCAGGUAGGACUACCCGCUGAACUUAAGCAUAUCAAUAAGCGGAGGCU